rnacentral:pre_miRNA from 1 species
CCGCGCCACCGCAAUGGCCAGCGAGGAGGCCGGGGCCGCCAGAUCUGGUGACCCUUCCCUUCCCGCUGGUGGAUCUGUCGAUGGAGA